rnacentral:rRNA from 1 species
CCCUUAGAUGUUCUGGGCUGCACGCGCGCUACACUGAUGCGCUCAACGAGUUUAUAACCUUGUCCGGCAGGAUUGGGUAAUCUUUUUAAAACGCAUCGUGAUGGGGAUAGAUUAUUGCAAUUAUUAAUCUUCAACGAGGAAUUCCUAGUAAGCGCGAGUCAUCAGCUCGUGCUGAUUACGUCCCUGCCCUUUGUACACACCGCCCGUCGCUCCUACCGAUUGGAUGGUCCGGUGAAGCCUCGGGAUUGUGGUUCUUGCCGCUUUAUUGUGGCGUGACCGCGAGAACUUGUCUAAACCUUAUCAUCUAGAGGAAGGUGAAGUCGUAACA